rnacentral:rRNA from 1 species
GACGAACGCUGGCGGCGUGCUUAACACAUGCAAGUCGAACGGAAAGGCCCUGCUUUUGUGGGGUGCUCGAGUGGCGAACGGGUGAGUAACACGUGAGUAACCUGCCCUUGACUUUGGGAUAACUUCAGGAAACUGGGGCUAAUACCGGAUAGGAGCUCCUGCUGCAUGGUGGGGGUUGGAAAGUUUCGGCGGUUGGGGAUGGACUCGCGGCUUAUCAGCUUGUUGGUGGGGUAGUGGCUUACCAAGGCUUUGACGGGUAGCCGGCCUGAGAGGGUGACCGGGCACAUUGGGACGGAGAUACGGCCCGGACGCCUGCGGGAGGCAGCAGUGGGGAAUAUGGCACAAUGGGCGGAAGCCUGAUGCAGCAACGCCGCGUGCGGGAUGACGGCGUUCGGGUUGUAAACCGCGUUCGCCUGUGACGAAGCGUGAGUGACGGUAAGGGGUAAAGAAGCACCGGCUAACUACGUG